rnacentral:rRNA from 1 species
UUCCUUCGGGGCGCAGCAGUGAGGAAUAUUGGUCAAUGGGCGGGAGCCUGAACCAGCCAAGUCGCGUGAGGGAAGACGGUCCUAUGGAUUAUAAACCUCUUUAGGCGGGGGGCAAUGCCGGGCACGCGGGCCCGGAGGGAAAGUACCCGCAGAAAAAGCAUCGGCUAACUCCGUGCCAGCAGCCGCGGUAAUACGGAGGAUGCGAGCGUUAUCCGGAUUUAUUGGGUUUAAAGGGUGCGUAGGCGGUCCGGAAAGUCGGCGGUAAAAGCCCGGGGCUCAACCC